GAAAGCAAGUGAUGUUAAAAUUGUUUUUAUGCUUAACCACUGAAAUAUUAUGUGGAACAAAACUCCGCUUAUUAUCUGAUGCUUUC
rfam:Daucus carota subsp. sativus cultivar DH1 chromosome 3, whole genome shotgun sequence.